AUUUUUACAUUUAUUUUUAUUUGAAUACGUGUAUAUGGUGCCUUGUGUAUGCUUAUGUGUACUUAACACAUAUUGCCCCCAGUGACUAAAUUUUUUAGAUUCACCUUGUCGAUCUUCACUAAAAAUAAUUGAUAAUACACAAACAACAUUCACUGAAUUGAAAUUAUGGAAUCUAGGAGACCUUGUCUCACUACAAAACCCAAAUGAAAUUAUUUAAUGGGACAGCAACAUACAGAGUUACUUUUACAAUUUAUUAUGCAUGCAUUAAUAGAGCUUAGUUCAUGAAUUGUGCAGCUAAGAUUCUCUACAAAUAGAAAGCACCACUCUUAAAUCUUGCAUGCCACAAUUUUCAAAAAUAAAACAACUCCACCUGAACAAAUUAGUCCAAUAUGUUCAACAACCAAACAGAAAAGGGCAAAACAAUUUGCAGAGAAAAAAUAUGUGCUCAAACAAAAUUAAUUCUGUGCUAAAUGUUGACUUGCACAAGGAAAUUUCACUACAUUUAUCUUUCAACAUUGUACAAUUCUUUUAGCUAAAAAACAAAAUAACAAACACAA
rnacentral:misc_RNA from 1 species